rnacentral:rRNA from 1 species
GAUGAACGCCGGCGGCGUGCUUAACACAUGCAAGUCGAACGGAAAGGCUCCUGCUUGCAGGGGUACUCGAGUGGCGAAAGGGUGAGUAACACGUGGGUGAUCUGCCCUGCACUUCGGGAUAAGCCUGGGAAACUGGGUCUAAUACCGGAUAGGACGAUGGUUUGGAUGCCAUUGUGGAAAGUUUUUCGGUGUGGGGUGAGCUCGCGGCCUAUCAGCUUGUUGGUGGGGUAAUGGCCUAUCAAGGCGUCGACGGGUAGCCGGCCUGAGAGGGUGUACGGCCACAUUGGGACUGAGAUACGGCCCAGACUCCUACGGGAGGCAGCAGUGGGGAAUAUUGCACAAUGGGCGCAAGCCUGAUGCAGCGACGCCGCGUGGGGGAUGACGGCCUUCGGGUUGUAAACUCCUUUCGCUAGGGACGAAGCGCAAGUGACGGUACCUGGAGAAGAAGCACCGGCUAACUACGUG